rnacentral:rRNA from 1 species
UACGAAGGGUGCUAGCGUUGUUCGGAAUUACUGGGCGUAAAGCGCGCGUAGGCUGCGAUUCAAGUCAGAGGUGAAAGCCCAGGGCUCAACCCUGGAAUUGCCUUUGAAACUAAAUCGCUAGAAUAUCGGAGGGGAUAGCGGAAUUCCUAAUGUAGCAGUGAAAUGCGUAGAUAUUAGGAGGAACACCGGUGGCGAAGGCGGCUAUCUGGACGAUUAUUGACGCUGAGGCGCGAAAGCGUGGGGAUCAAACAGG